rnacentral:rRNA from 1 species
GGGUGAGUAAUGCCUAGGAAUCUGCCUGGUAGUGGGGGAUAACGUCCGGAAACGGGCGCUAAUACCGCAUACGUCCUGAGGGAGAAAGUGGGGGAUCUUCGGACCUCACGCUAUCAGAUGAGCCUAGGUCGGAUUAGCUAGUUGGUGGGGUAAAGGCCUACCAAGGCGACGAUCCGUAACUGGUCUGAGAGGAUGAUCAGUCACACUGGAACUGAGACACGGUCCAGACUCCUACGGGAGGCAGCAGUGGGGAAUAUUGGACAAUGGGCGAAAGCCUGAUCCAGCCAUGCCGCGUGUGUGAAGAAGGUCUUCGGAUUGUAAAGCACUUUAAGUUGGGAGGAAGGGCAGUAAGUUAAUACCUUGCUGUUUUGACGUUACCAACAGAAUAAGCACCGGCUAACUUCGUGCCAGCAGCCGCGGUAAUACGAAGGGUGCAAGCGUUAAUCGGAAUUACUGGGCGUAAAGCGCGCGUAGGUGGUUCAGCAAGUUGGAUGUGAAAUCCCCGGGCUCAACCUGGGAACUGCAUCCAAAACUACUGAGCUAGAGUACGGUAGAGGGUGGUGGAAUUUCCUGUGUAGCGGUGAAAUGCGUAGAUA